GAUGAACGCUGGCGGCGUGCUUAACACAUGCAAGUCGAACGAUGAAGCCCAGCUUGCUGGGUGGUUUAGUGGCGAACGGGUGAGUAACACGUGAGUAACCUGCCCUUGACUCUGGGAUAAGCCUGGGAAACUGGGUCUAAUACUGGAUAUGACUUCUCAUCGCAUGGUGGGGGGUGGAAAGAUUUAUUGGUCUUGGAUGGACUCGCGGCCUAUCAGCUUGUUGGUGAGGUAAUGGCUCACCAAGGCGACGACGGGUAGCCGGCCUGUGAGGGUGACCGGCCACACGGGGACUGAGACAGGGCCCAGACUCCUACGUGAGGCAGCGGUGGGAAGUAUUACACAGUGAGCGCGAGCCUGAGACAGCGGCGCCGCGUGAGGGAUGACGGCCUUCGGGGUGUGAACCUCUUUCAGUAGGGAAGAAGCGGGAGUGACGGUACCUGCAGAAGAAGCGCCGGCUAACUACGUG
rnacentral:rRNA from 1 species